AUGAGGUGGCUGAAUGAAGAGGCCCAUUUCGCAAAGACCCCUCACACGGUGCUAGUACUGGAGGAUGGGGAAAACUCACAUGGGGGAGUGGAACCAAACUUCUCAUUGCCCCAGUGUGCCAAUCAGGGAUAUGUGAAACUCACAUUUGGAACUGGGACCAAAAUUCUUGUUACCCCAAAUGUCACUCCAUCUCCUUCAGUCUACAGGCUGACCUCUAAAGAUGAUGAGGAUUUGGAAAUGUGUCUUAUCACAGAUUACUCCCCUGAAAACAUUACUCUUCACUGGGGUGAUAAGCAGACAAAUGUUGUAGUAGAGGUGGCAACACCUGAGAACAAACAGGAAGUGAGCUACCUGUCCACCUACUGGGCCAAGAAAGAUGUAAUGCAGUGUGGUGCAAAUCACCAGGGCUUUGGAGAACUGGAGGGCGAGGAUCCUGAAAAAGGUGCCAGCACUGUCUGUGUUACAGGGGUGUCUCUACACUUCAGGACAGAUGAAAACCUGAACAUGCUGUCUUUAUCACAGCUGGGCCUGAAAAUAAUUUUAAUGAAAGGAAUAAUUUUUAAUGUGCUGAUGACAAUGCUUAUGUGGAAAAAAAAGUGA